AUGGCGUCAACCCCUACCAGUCUACGGAAAGGCCUAGCUUCCCUUGUCAUCCUUGUCGCCUGGAGCAUUUGGAAGCACCGCAAAGCAUGUACCUUCGACGACGAGCACCCAUCUACUUCGCGGCUCGCUCAGCUCAUCUGCAUCGAAGCUCACACAUGGGCCUCCGCUGGAGUCAGGGGCCUAGCGGGCAUUAUUCCCGCGAGACAUCCAUAA
rnacentral:rRNA from 1 species